CUCUCCUUGCUGCCUGACACAUUUAAGUGCUUAGGACGUGCUAAGAUCAAAGUGUAGUGUCUGUUCUUAUCAGUUUACUAUCUGAUAUGUCCUUUAUUUGAGGACUGUAUAUUUAAUUGAUUUUUGAAACGGGGAUGGAAGAGGAGCUUGCUCUGUCCACCCCAUGCAUUGACCAGGUAUUGCAGUGUUUCCAGAAACGGUGCAUCUCCU
rnacentral:snRNA from 1 species